rnacentral:lncRNA from 1 species
AAGUUAAAGAUUAUCUGCCCUGCGCGAAUAUAUUUUUCAAACCGAGCCUUGAUUGGACACGUAAUUAGUGAAUGCAAUUUGGGAGUAAAACUUCAAUCAUCAACAGUUCAAUUAUUUUCGACAAUUCAUUUACGCUGGACCUUUUCGCAAACCAUCAACAGAUUAUAAAGGCGUAUAUAAGCCAGUUACCACUGAAUGUUAUUUUAAUUCUCAAUAAAACUAUUUUACCCGAUUUGGAUAUCAAUGUGUGAUACUGUUCAUAGCCACUGCUGUGAUAUUACCUUUCAGCUUAGGUUCAGUGCCCUGUUCGCCAAGGAAGUUCUCAAAACACAAGAAACAACAAACCGCUGAUUUAGCAUGAACUGAACAGUUUAUAUCAGUGGAACGACCAACGUCCAUCAGCAGCUCAACACGUCAUCUGAUUCGUGAACACGCUUAUACACGCAUUAGUUACAUGUGUACACAUGGACAUUGUGAAGUUGAUAUAAGAAGUGAAUAACUCAAAUUACUUAUAAUUAUAAAGAAGCGAGAGAAGAAAAUGUCCUGCGACAGCGGACACCAGCAUAGACAUGGCGAAGGAGGUCACACGUUCAGCUCCACUUUCUGAAACAGAUAUUUUGCAAAUUAGCUUGUGGUGUCUCCAGUAUAGCCAGUGUCACAAGCACAGACGCUUUGUUUGCCUGCUGUUAUGGUGCAGGUGCCGUCAUUCAAGCGAUUGACAUCAGUUGUACAUUUGGGGCCUGGAUCAGACACAGGUUGUGCCACCAUACCCAUCUGAACAUGUGCAUACUUUGCCUGGUGUGGUUCCCGUACAUGUGCCAUGUUCAUUACAAUCGCCAUCAACAGAGCAGGCGUCGGCAGCAGCAGCAGCAGCACAUCGGAAACUGCAUACAACAGUUAUCAGAAGAACUGGAAAUGAAUGUAAAACAAUUACGAAUGAAU